GGUGUGUGUAUCUGAGUGACUGUAUGCCAGUGUGUAUCUGUAUGUAUCUAAGUGUGUGUAUCUGAGUCUGUUUGUGUGUAUCUGAGUGAGUGUGUAUGUGCUAUUGUGUGUAUCUGUAUGUAUCUAAGUGUGUGCAUAUACCAGUAUGUGUAUCUGUGUGUAUUUGAGUGUGUGUGUGUAUCUGUAUGUCAGAAUGUACCUGAGUGUUUGUGUAUGUGCCAGUGUGUGUAACUGUGUAUAUGUGCAAGUGUUUGUCUGCAUGUGUCAGUGUCCGUAUCUGUGUGUCAAGGUGUUUGCAUGAGUCCGUGUAUUUAAUAGUGUGUGUAAAUAGUGUUCUGUCAUAAUAAAAUAUCAUGUCUUUAUUCAUACAUGUUUGGUGGCUGUGUGCAUUUUGGGGUAUGCGUUUUGUGUGUGUGUGUGAACGCCCGUGUGAUGGGGGAGGAGGGGGGGUGCGCGCGUGGGGUGUGCG